ACAACAGUAGCUGCAAUUGUUUAAGCUGUUUUCUAGUGACAUUUAUUUGGAUUCAUCCAUAACAAUGAGCUAAUGUUAUGUGAGGCGCGAUUUCGUCAAGAAACUUGUUCAGAGGAGCUAGCCAACACAAUCACUUCACAUUUUAACUGGAAAGACUGCAAACUACAGUAGCUGCACUUUAUUUCGUUUUAACUUUUUUCAAUUGCCAUUUUUUUUGUGAUGCCAGCUGAUUCAUGAUUUCGACUGGCUGAGAAACGCUGCCUGCCUGUCAAUCUCGUCCCGACUCGUUCAUUACUAUGGGACAGCUGUAGAUCGAAUUUGAAUAUUGAAACGAUAUUGCAAAUAUCGGAGAGACAGACAGCAAGGUUAAUACAAAUCUCUGCUGUUGGAAACUAAAUGUUAUUCUAAAAAAAAUGUGAGAUAAUGUCUAGAUGCUUUUUAUAGUGGAGAUCAAGUUUAUAAUUUGCCUGGCUGGGUUGAUGAGACAGUGGAUUGCGCAGUCAAAUGGAACAGAGUAAAUAGCCAUAUUAACGUCAUAGAUUUAGCUCUUGGUAGCUUGUGGAAUAGACACCGGCUGGGAUGCGCUUUUAACCAGCAUUCAGGGUACAGGAUUAGACCCACCCGUUGUAUAAAACAGACCAACAGACCAACACAUCUUCACACGAAUGUCCACGGUGGGUCUCUGUAAAUUAUGCGAUUAUAUUGGAGACAGUUUAAUAGCGGUGACUGUCAUCAAUUCAUUUACUCUUAUAGUAUUUCUAAGUAGAAUCCAUAUCAGCCAGGGAAACUUUGUGAUAGAACAUUCAGAUUUGUCUGCCUGACUGUGGGACUCUAUACCUGAAUUAUUAGGAUUUUUUUGUGAUCACAACAAAACUAGGUAUUUUGAUCAAAUAUAGAUAUAAUAAAUGUUUAUCUUUCAAAAUAUGGGCCUGGCUGAGAAUAUAACAUUAAGUUUUCUGCCUGAGUGUGGCGCUGUUUACCACAUUUUUUAAAUCAUUUUGUGACUGUAACAAAGCUACUUUUACUCAACUAGAGAUGAAAAUAAAUAGUGUUUCUUUAAAAAGAUGGGCCUGGCUAACAUGGACUGUUUCCUCACCUUAUUCUCCUUGUGGUUAUCCAUGGUUGUUGGUUAUUUGCCAGGUAAAAGUAAUUAUUUUGUAUGUUUUUGCUGGACAUCUAGAGAAUAUUAAUUUAUUAUAAUAAUAAACUACUUUAUUCUGCUAACUGCAUACAAGUACAUUUCCCUGUUAUAGGAAUGGAAUGGAGUUGUAGAGUUGUAAUUUAGAGUUAGAAGAAGUGAAAACUAUACAAGGACUGAAGCAAUAGACUCCUCACUCAACUAGAUAUUGAAAUAAAUUGUGUUUCUUUGAAAAGAUGGGCUUGGCUGAUAUAAAAAUACAUUAAGGGGAAAGGAUCCAAUGACACAGAGGCUGAUUAUCUUUCUGCACAUCUCUUUAUUUACAAUGCUGGCUGCCAUUGUUAACACAAUUGCAGGACAUUAAAUGCUACCUGAAUUUACUAAAAAAAGUAACAUAAGUAGGCCUACAGUAUCACAGCGAGGUCAAACAGGUGUGUGUGUGUGUGUUAGUCAGACUGUCCAGUGUCCACAACAACACUACUGAUUAUUCUCUACCCCCAGUGUAUGUGGUGUACUAUGGUUUUAGGCAUGCGCUCACAAACCCUCAUCUUUUCUCUUUCUCUGUCUCUCCUUCCGGAGGACCUGAGGCUCUUGGACUGCGACUGAGGACACCCCAGCCUGACACCUGAAUGUGCCUGGCCCAAUCCCACCUUGCCCUCCUCUACCAGCCUGUGGCUACCUCCACUGAUUCUUUCUCCCCCUCAAGUCACUAACCUACUCCCCACACACCUAGAAACUUGUAUUUCAUUACUUACCAUAUGACUUUAUGAAAGGCCAUCGGUUCAUGGAGUCUUAAAGUUAAAUCAAAUACAGAUUCGUGCAAACUGGAAGUGUGACUUCUUUCCCCAAUGAUUUCUGAAGGCUGAGCCAUUACAGAACCACCCACCAUCAACGGACCAAGCAGCGUGGGAGAAAGGAGUCAUGGACCUGUGAGGAAAUCCUGGAUGGGGCAGGACCGUGGACAAGGCCGGGAGAAUACCGCCGCCUGCCGGAGGAGAUAGAGGCAGCGAGGGCAGAACGGCGUUUCUGGGAGGAUCGGCUGGCACGGGAAGUGCCAUGCUAGAGUGGGCAUCGAGCCAGGACGGGUUGUGCAGGCCGUGCGCUCCAGACCUCCAGUGCGUCUC